CGCACAGCUCACUAGCACGUGGCUAACCUACCCUCAGGACGGAAACAUCCCCGGGAAACUGGGGUUAAUGUCCGAUAGGUGAAGAACCCUGGAAUGGGUUUUCGCUCAAAGGGCGUUUAGAUCAUGCUUCUAAGCGUUGCCUAAGGAUGGGGCCGCGGCCGAUCAGGUUGUUGGUGAGGUAACGGCUCACCAAGCCUUUAACCGGUGCGGGCCGUGGGAGCGGGAGCCCGGAGAUGGGCACUGAGACAAGGGCCCAGGCCCUACGGGGCGCAGCAGUCGCGAAAACUUCGCAAUAAGCGAAAGCUUGACGGGGCCAUCCCGAGUGCCAUCCGCUGAGGAUGGCUUUUCCCUAGUAUAGAUAGCUGGGGGAAUAAGGAGAGGGCAAGUCUGGUGUCAGCCGCCGCGGUAAUACCAGCUCUCCGAGUGGUGUGGAUGAUUAUUGGGCCUGAAGCAUCCGUAGCUGGCUGGACAAGUCCCCUGUUAAAUCCAGCGAUCCAAUCGUUGGCGUGCGGGGGAUACUGUUCGGCUAGGGGGCGAUAGAGGCCGUCGGUAUUCUCGGGGUAGGGGUGAAAUCCUAUAAUCCCGGGAAAACCACCAAUGGCGAAGGCUGUCGGCUAUAACGCGCCCGACGGUGACGGAUGAAAAGCCGGGGGAGCGAACCC
rnacentral:rRNA from 1 species